rnacentral:rRNA from 1 species
UACGGAGGGUGCAAGCGUUAUCCGGAAUCACUGGGUUUAAAGGGUGCGUAGGCGGUCUAAUAAGUCAGUCGUGAAAUCGCUGGGCUCAACCCAUGCAAUUGCGAUUGAUACUGUUAGACUUGAAUGGGGUUGAGGCUAGCGGAAUGCGACAUGUAGCGGUGAAAUGCUUAGAUAUGUCGCAGAACACCGAUUGCGAAGGCAGCUAGCUGGGCCUAUAUUGACGCUGAGGCACGAAAGCGUGGGGAGCAAACAGGAUUAGAUACCCUGGUAGUCCACGCCCUAAACGAUGCUUACUUGCUGUUCCUCAAUUAGAGGAGUGGCGAAGGGAAACCGCUAAGUAAGCCACCUGGGGAGUACGCCGGCAACGGUGAA